rnacentral:lncRNA from 1 species
UUCGCUCCUCGCCAUCUUCGUGAUCGCGUCCACCACGUUCUUGUAGUCGCGGCCGCCAGCCUGCAUCCGGACCAUGGCCACGUCGGCUGGGUUGCCGACGGCGGCGCCGACUCCGCCGGCGACGAGCCCGGCGAGGAUUUUCCUGGUCAGGGGGAGGUUUCCGGUGUUUGGGUCGGCCCACUGGACUUUCAGGGCUUCGUAGAGGCCCAUGCGGGUGGUGGAGUAGAGAGUCUGGCGAAGGACGGUGGCGGAGACGCCGGAGUAUAGGGCGGCGAUGCCUUCCGUCCGCACGAUGCGAACUCCGACCGAGAUGGGCCCCGCGCGUGCCGGCGGGGCCGGCGGUGGUGGUGGUGGGCCCACCAGAGUGGCAGAGUGGGAAUUAAAGGCAAAAGCGGGGCGGAGAUUGUGGACGGGCUGUGGGGCCCGAGCGGCGGCGCUGUUGCUCUCACCCUGGAGCUGCAUGCGGACCUUGAUGAGAUCAAGCGGGUGGGUGGAGCAGCCUGCAACAAUGGAAGCUAAGCCUCCCUCAACGAAACCUUUGACACCCAUUUCUUGAAGUGAGAAUCAAAGGUCGAACUUUUGUUCUUCUGGGUUGUUAGAAAAUUGAAAGAAUGAAAGAAUGAGGUUAAACAGAGGAGCAAAAUUGGAGAGAAGGAAAUGGGAAGAGGGAGAUUAGGGUUAGGACCAAGAGGAGGCAGGGUUCAUUUCACUGGAGAUGCGGAGGUGAGAAUGAAGGGCAAAGGCUAUGGAGGAAGAGUGAGGGACGUUGGGCCUCUGAGACAUAAGCA